UGUGGAGGAAAAUGAGAUCCCGAGUGAAGUCUACAAUGUCAUUGACUCUGAAGAAGGACUCAGAGACCCAUUGGUGUUUAAUGACCCUUACUGGCCUAUGCAAUGGGAACUGGCUCAGCUAUAUAUGAUCACAGGCCCAUCCCCUAAAACUUAUAUGGAAACUUGAAUGAUGUCAGCUUCUAAAGGACACUGUAUGAAGGACUGGAUUGCCAGUGGCUCAAUUUUCCUACAUAAUUCAGAGUUGUGGCUUGGGCAAUGCCAAGAACCACAUCUGCACUGAAAUCAAUUAUCUGUUGGUUGCUUUCACACUGACUUCGGCUUGACUCAGGAGUAGUCUUGGUGGAUUCUUGGAUGUGCUACUGGGGAGGCUACCGAUGUGCAGAACAAGCUCCCAAUCAGCCACGUGACCGCAAAGAUGACUUCCACUAACAUAGAUGGAGGAUGUGUAGCUCAUUUCAGUGGGACAUCCAGAGUCCUGUCUACAGUGGUUGGAGUUCUGGCUUAAAUUCAAGCAGCUGAAAACACAAGAAAUAAGAAGACCGUUUGAGAAGAGCAGAUAGUUGCCUUAAGAAAAUUCCUGUCAUAUGCACUCUGGGAUUUGGACUCAAAUCCUAAUUAUACAGUAAGUGAAAUGAACACAGACUUUACAUUAACCUAAUGUAAAGCUGCAGAACUGUGAUACCUGUUCAAUUUGGUUAAAGGAAUUGAAGGUGGUGGCUUUUUUUUUUUUUUUUUUUUUUUUUUUUGGCAGAAAGGGUUAUUUGUGACAGUUGACAAAGUAGAUAUUUUUGGUUGUCUAAAGAGAAUAUUAUUUUUCUCCCUAUUCCUUACACCUUUUUAAAAAGCCAAACAGGGAGUUCCUGUGGUGGUACAAUGGUGAUGAACCCAUCUAGUAUCCAUGAGGAUACAGGUUCGAUCCUUGGCCUUGCUCAAUGAAUAAGGGAUCCAGCAUUGUCAUGAGCUGUGGUGUAAGUCACAGAUGCAGCUCGGAUCUGACAUUGCUGUGGCUGUGGUAUAAACUGGCAGCUACGGCUCCAAUUCAGCCCCUAGCUUGGGAAUUUCCAUAUGCCUAGGCUGUGGCCCUAAAAUGACAAAAAAAAAUAAAAAUAAAAAGGAAUAUUUUUAUUAUCUAACUUUUAAAUCAAAAACAUUUCCUUUUCCAAAUUAUAUUCAUUAUAAUUUUGAUAUAUAGUACAAAUUAAUACUUCUUGAAUUUCAACAUGUAUAAGUAGAACGUCUAUUGAAUUAUUUUUGUCAUAUUAAUUUUUGAUCAAGGGGUAAUUUUUUUUUAUCAAAGAAUACACCAACAAAUCAAAGCUAGUCAACAAAGAGCAUGGCCUCAGUUCACAAAAGUGGGACAUAUAAAGUAAUGUUGAGGGAAUAUUCAACUAUUUGUAAAUCUAUUUUUAAAAGUUAAGACAGGAGUUCCCAUUGUGGCUCAGUGGUUAAUGAACCCUACUAGUAUCCCUGAGGACGCCUGACCUUGCUCAGUGGGUUAAGGAUCUGGCAUUGCUGUGAGCUGUAGUCUAGGUCACAGUUGGGGCUAGGAUCCCACAAUGCUGUGGCUGUGGCGUAGGCUGUAGCUACAGCUCCAAUUUGCCCCCUAGUCUGGGAAUCUCCAUAUGCUGCAGAUGCAGUCCAAAUAAAUAAAUAAAUAAAUAAAUAAAAUAAAAGUUAAGGCAAUAUAGCAGAGUUAUUUUUCUACCAAGCAAAAUAUUAUCUAGCCAUUGGUUCCUCCAAACAAAUGGAAUGGAACAAUGACUCCAGAAUUUUUUUCCUGAAUGAAGUUUUCCCAUGGCUAGUGACUACAUAAGAAUAAGACCCAAGGGCACCACCUGGGACACACAGAUGGUUGUAAAUGCCCCCUACUCUCAAGAGUAUCAAAAUACCUGCAUAAGUAAACUUAAGGAUGCUUUCUGUUUGAAUCUCAAGUUCACAUCCUUCUAUCAAAUGGCUAUAGAGCAACCAUACACACUACAUUUGAUGGGUAAGAUUCUGGCAGGUUUUCCUUAACAUAUUCUUUGGCAGUCAUUUCUAUGGGCAAAUGUAGGAGAAGCAGUGACUGACAGGCAGUCUCUAAUAGCACUGGCAGAGCAUAAUGGAGCUACUCAGAAGCAUAGUUUUCAGUGCACUGAAUUGCAUUCAUUUGUUUACGUGGUGAUCUUUCUUUGGAGAUUUGUCCUCACAAGGGCAGGGCCUGUUUUAUAUUUGUCUUGAGAAAUCUCACACACCCCAAUACCUAGCACAAAACUGGACAUAUGAUAAGCACUCAGUAAGCAUUGCUUAGAUUAAGUAACCAAGGUAGAGUGUGUUCUUGUGUUCAAGAGAGAACUUACUAAAGUGUUCUAAAUAUGGGAGUUCCCAUUGUGGCUCAGGGGGUAAAGAACUCAACUAGUAUCCAUGAGGAUUCAGGUUCAACCCUUGCCCUUGCUCAGUGGGUUAAGGAUCUAGCCUGCUGCAAGCUACAGUGUAGGCUGCUGCAGAUGUGUCUCAGAUCCGGCAUGACUGUGGCUGUGGCUGCAGCUCUGAUUGGACCCCUAACCUAGAACUUCCAUAUGCUGCAGGUGUGGCCCUUAAAAAAAAAAAAAAA
rnacentral:lncRNA from 1 species